UACAGAGGUCUCAAGCGUUUGUUCGGAUUCAUUGGGCGUAAAGGGUGUGUAGGUGGCGCGCUAAGUCGGGUGUGAAAUUUCGGAGCUUAACUCCGAAACUGCAUUCGAUACUGCCGUGCUUGAGGACUGGAGAGGAGACUGGAAUUUACGGUGUAGCGGUGAAAUGCGUAGAUAUCGUAAGGAAGACCAGUGGCGAAGGCGGGUCUCUGGACAAGUUCCGUGACGUGAGGCACGAAGG
rnacentral:rRNA from 1 species